rnacentral:rRNA from 1 species
GCAGGCUCGCGCUUGAAUACAUUAGCAUGGAAUAAUGAAAUAGGACGUUUGAUUCUAUUUUGUUGGUUUCUAGGAUCGACGUAAUGAUUAAUAGGGAUAGUUGGGGGCAUUAGUAUUCAAUUGUCAGAGGUGAAAUUCUUGGAUUUAUUGAAGACUAACUACUGCGAAAGCAUUUGCCAAGGAUGUUUUCAUUAAUCAAGAACGAAAGUUAGGGGAUCGAAGACGAUCAGAUACCGUCGUAGUCUUAACCAUAAACUAUGCCGACUAGGGAUCGGAGGAUGUUAAUUUUUUAAUGACUCAUUCGGCGCCUUACGGGAAACCAAAGUGUUUGGGUUCCGGGGGGAGUAUGGUCGCAAGGCUGAAACUUAAAGGAAUUGACGGAAGGGCACCACCAGGGGUGGAGCCUGCG